UACGAAGGGGGCUAGCGUUGCUCGGAAUCACUGGGCGUAAAGGGUGCGUAGGCGGGUCUUUAAGUCAGAGGUGAAAUCCCUGGAGCUCAACUCCAGAACUGCCUUUGAUACUGAGGAUCUUGAGUUCGGGAGAGGUGAGUGGAACUGCGAGUGUAGAGGUGAAAUUCGUAGAUAUUCGCAAGAACACCAGUGGCGAAGGCGGCUCACUGGCCCGAUACUGACGCUGAGGCACGAAAGCGUGGGGAGCAAAGCAGG
rnacentral:rRNA from 1 species